AUGUGUAUUUCUAUUUAGAAAUACUUCAGCAUAACAAGAACGGAACAAACAGUAUUAUACAAAAAGUUCAUUGAAUUCAGGGAGCUGUUUGGGGAUCCGACAAAAUGGUUGAGUUUUAAUGAGGUUGUUUAGAAGUUGGACAUCCUAACCCCUAAAGGCAAGCCUCGUUUCGUGUAAUAUACGAGAAUUACGAUGGGGCGAUUGAUUUAAAAAUCAUCUUUAUGCACAUACCGUAUGCUGUAAUAAGCCUUCACCAGAUCCCCUUAGGUAUCGAUCGACAAGGUUUAACGCAAGAGUAGUUCUAAAUAUUUGAAGUGUCGUUUAGUCAGCAAGUUCAAUCGUGAAAUAAAAUGGUGCACAUGAGCUAGUAAAACUUUGUAAUGUUGAGAUUUAAAUUUAUUAAUUUAAUCUCACUUAUGAAUAAAGGUUUACGUUUA